UACGUAGGGGGGCAAGCGUUGUCCGGAAUUAUUGGGCGUAAAGAGCUCGUAGGCGGUUUGUCGCGUCGGCUGUGAAAACUCGGGGCUCAACCCCGAGCCUGCAGUCGAUACGGGCAGACUAGAGUGCUGUAGGGGAGACUGGAAUUCCUGGUGUAGCGGUGAAAUGCGCAGAUAUCAGGAGGAACACCGGUGGCGAAGGCGGGUCUCUGGGCAGUAACUGACGCUGAGGAGCGAAAGCGUGGGGAGCGAACAGG
rnacentral:rRNA from 1 species